CAGAGCAAAGUUUCCCAUGCCUGCUGUGACUCAGUGUGUUCCUGGUGUCUUGGAAAUAGGAAUUAGAGAGGAGCAGCACCAGGAGAAACAUCAGGCAGGAUUCCUCUGAACCAGUCACCCUUAAUCCCUUUUACAGGUACCAAGGUUUUGCCUGCUGGAGGUGGAAUGUGGUCCUGCUUUGCUUCCAUCCCACUCGGAGCAGGUUAAUGCUCCGGAGGCCUCUGUGCUUAGAUCUCCCUUCGUUCCCAAAGCCCUGCCUCUGGUGUGAGGUGAUGGAUGCCUGGAAAUGAACUGUGGGGGGAUUUAUUCCGGGAGAGGAGAUAAAAAUAAUUCAGCCUGUUUCUCUUUGCCCUGAAACGUUGGACGUUUUGCGUGAAUUAUGAGCAGCCAAUGCAUCUUGUUCUCGAGAGGGUCAGGUGGGGAAAAAGGGUUUGGAGCUGGCAAGAUAAGCCUUCCCUAGAAACUGGGGUGGACUUACACAUCCAGAAAUAACCCAGAGUUUUCAAAGUUUGGGGGGCUGUCCUGUGACUUAGAGGGGAAAAAAAAUAAUCCCUAGGACAUGAAAUCCGAACAACAAAAGGCAGCACUUCUGCAGAGCAGCUAA